rnacentral:lncRNA from 1 species
UUGAAAACACUAAUCAAAUGAAAAAAAUAAGAAAAAAAAACUUCAAUGUCAUCACGACUUUAUCAUUUUUCUACCAUGUAGAAUGAAAUGCGCAUAGGAAAUCGUAUCAAUUGGUUAAAGGGCACGUAUACUUGACCCGAGGCAGUAGUUUUCUUUCUGAUAAAACAAGGAAGAAACAGGACUCCCACACUUUAAACAAAAAAUUGUCAGUAUUUCCCUGUAGGAGCUGUAGGGGCCUGCCUGCAGUAGUGCAGUAUGUACUUGACAUGUGUGUACACCAUGGUGGUAUGCCUAUAGUUUUACUCCUGGAGUAUGCUGGUAGGUCAAGAGCAGAGGCAGGCACAGGCCCCUGUGCUGUGGCUGUGCCCACUUCCUCCUGCAUGCAUGCUCUGCUCCCUGCCCUGCACUGCACUGCCUUUCUAGUUUUUCCUCUUCCUCUUCCUCCUGACUUGUCUGGUCUGCUCCAUCACAGGACAAAAAUAAAGCUGCAUCUUUUACUAUCUGCAAGUACUAGGAUUUGUUUAAUUAAGCCUAAAUAGUUCAUCAGCUAUGACAAGUGGUGAUUGGGCUUAUAAUAAUGCCUUGGAAGCAGGUAAAGACAAGCGAAUGAUUUGUGAGGGAAAAGGUAGAGGGGAGCCUGGGAGGGAAGCUGCUACCUAGCACAUGGGAGGAAGACUCUUGUGUGUAUGUGUGAUGUGUCCUCUACACAGGUCGUCACUUUAGACUGUGGAGAAGCUUUGGUUUGUCUUUCUCAUGCCAAUUGGAUACAGUCAGCAGUAAUUUCACCAAUGUGGCAAAUGCUCUGAGCACAAACCUUUUGCUUCCAAAGCCUCUAUGCAUAUAUGAGCUUUUUCACAGGCCACAUCUAGGGCUAGGUGAACCAGGCAAUUGCUGCUUUCGUGGUUAUAAUUUGUAGGUGUGGUACACUUCCAACUAUUAGGUACUCUCAAACCGUAGGAAACUACGUAAGCUUUGUUGACAGAAAGAGUAGGAUGACAAGUACAAAGCACUGAUGUAGAAAUACAGUGCUGAUCAACAGACAUCAUGAAGACAUUGGUCAAGGCAUGGUCCUGCAGUCAACAACAUGACAUAUUUUUCAAUCAUUCCGCGCUUCAUUUGUGGAGAAAAUGAUGCAUGCUUCAUAUGUGGCAGAGUAGUCCUCAGCACUUGACUUUCUUUGCUCUCACCAUACCAUUUUAAUGGAAUUUUCUAUGGCAGAUAUGAUGUAUGAUUGUAGCGAUCCCACUGUUAAUUGUAUCCCGCCAAAAUAAUUCAAAUGCAUCUCAACUACUUUUAAUGUUAAGCAUCUCAUAAUACUCUAAAGACUAAGCCCCUCCUUGGCACGGUUCAUUGAGCGGCUUUUGAUGAAGCCAUGCCAAACGCUACACCUCAAAAUGGCUUGCGAGAAGAAGCUGGGCAAAAUCCCCACAAAAUACGGUCUCUGCAUUACUCCCCGCAGGAGAAGCCAAAAAUACUGACUUAGGACUGAGCGGCAUGGAACGCGGGGCUUACCCGGCGGAGCACCUGACUGGCGGUGGCUUGGGGCGGAUGCUGGCGAGACGACGAGAGGCGCACCGGUGGCGGCACGACUCCAUGGGUGCAGCACCGGCGACG